rnacentral:rRNA from 1 species
CCUACGGGAGGCUGCAGUGGGGAAUAUUGCACAAUGGGGGAAACCCUGAUGCAGCGACGCCGCGUGAGUGAAGAAGUAUUUCGGUAUGUAAAGCCCUAUCAGCAGGGAAGAAAAUGACGGUAUCUGACUAAGAAGCCCCGGCUAACUACGUGCCAGCAGCCGCGGUAAUACGUAGGGGGCAAGCGUUAUCCGGAUUUACUGGGUGUAAAGGGAGCGUAGACGGCAGCACAAGUCUGGAGUGAAAUGCAGUGGCUUAACCACGGAACUGCUUUGGAAACUGUGCAGCUAGAGUGCAGGAGAGGUAAGUGGAAUUCCUGGUGUAGGGGUAAAAUGCGUAGAGAUUAGGAGGAACACCAGUGGCGAAGGCGACUUACUGGACUGUAACUGACGUUGAGGCGCGAAAGCGUGGGGAGCAAACAGGAUUAGAUACCCUGGUAGUC